CCCCGCGCAGCGCCCGGCCCCGCCGCUCACGCCGACGCUCUGCCUGCCGCUCCAAUUGCAGGGUAAAAACCGGACAGCAAAACAGCACGUAAUCGUACAAACAGCGUUUACUUUCGGGCACGGCCGCAAUGCCGCGGGCGGCGCCGGCCCAGCGCGUUCGAGCACACCCCAAGCUUGAAUACGGCCGGUGGAGGGGGAAAAGGGCCGGGGAGCUGCAGCACCGGCGCUGGCUGGAGGGGCGGCUUGUGCCAAAGGGCAGUGAGCGAGAAGAGAAGCGGCCCCGGCUCGGCCCGGGCUGUGGUCGGCGAUGUGACAGCCUGCAGGCACCCUCCGCCUUCUGCCGCCCUCUUUCCACGCCCCGCAGCUAUUCUGGAAAGAAACCUCAGCUCCAAAAAUAAGUAAAGAAAACAAAAACAGACGCGUGCUCGCGAUCGCCGGGGAGAGACCGGCGGGCUUGUUGCGACCGUGCUUUUCCGUACGGGCGACAGCCUCCUUCCUUCUACCGUAGCCGGGGGCCCUGCCGUCGGCCCCGGCUCGCCGCUGCACCGUACCAAAACCCGACUUCCUCGCUCAGGCCGCGAAACCACCUCCUUGCAGAGGCAUUUCGAAAGCGCAGACGCCACGGACAACGCAGCGAAACGCUCCUGCGCUGGGGCAGCCAGGGGCCACGUCUCGGCUAAAACGCCCCGGCGUAAAUUAUGAGCGCGCGUUUUUGAUACGUAGGCCCGCUACAGAUAACCACGCUGCUUAACUUGCAUGGGGGGAGGCAGGAAUUCAGCUAAAGGAAAUCGAUUUGACUUGCACAUCCUGAUUUUGGAAAGUUGGUUAUUAGGCGUUACAGGUUCAUAGGCAUGGACGGACAUAAACACAUCAUUAUAUGCCUCGGCAUGCAGCAAGCACUUGAAACUUCAAGUAAUCAUUUUAUCUUUGGAAAAAAAAGAAGGUUUUAAAAGUA